rnacentral:rRNA from 1 species
UAGUGGCGCACGGGUGCGUAACGCGUGGGAACCUGCCUUUAGGUUCGGAAUAACAGUUAGAAAUGACUGCUAAUACCGGAUAAUGUCUUCGGACCAAAGAUUUAUCGCCUUUAGAUGGGCCCGCGUUGGAUUAGAUAGUUGGUGGGGUAAUGGCCUACCAAGUCGACGAUCCAUAGCUGGUCUGAGAGGAUGAUCAGCCACACUGGGACUGAGACACGGCCCAGACUCCUACGGGAGGCAGCAGUGGGGAAUAUUGGACAAUGGGGGAAACCCUGAUCCAGCAAUGCCGCGUGAGUGAUGAAGGCCUUAGGGUUGUAAAGCUCUUUUACCAGGGAUGAUAAUGACAGUACCUGGAGAAUAAGCUCCGGCUAACUCCGUGCCAGCAGCCGCGGUAAUACGGAGGGAGCUAGCGUUGUUCGGAAUUACUGGGCGUAAAGCGCACGUAGGCGGCUUUUCAAGUCAGGGGUGAAAUCCCGGGGCUCAACCCCGGAACUGCCCUUGAAACUGGAUGGCUAGAAUACUGGAGAGGUGAGUGGAAUUCCGAGUGUAGAGGUGAAAUUCGUAGAUAUUCGGAAGAACACCAGUGGCGA